UGCUGCCGGGGGCGGGGGAAGAGCGGACGCCGGGAGGGAGGGGCGGGGCCGGAGAGGGUAAAAGUUAGGGGGGCAGGACUGGGUGGGGGACCCGGGAGGAGAAAGCGCAGUGGGCACGAGGGAAAGGGGAGUGGCCGAGGUGGGGCGGAGGAUGGUCCCGAGACUGUCAACAACCUUUAACGAGCCUCCUCGGCGUCUCCAGCCCAGUCCUACGCGCUGGGAGGGGUAAGGAAGAGCCGGACACGGUUCCUGUCCUCUAGGUGUUUACAGCCUAGCCGGAGAGACGACACAGAUGCAUAUUAAAUAGCUAAAACCAACUCCAGGGCAGCUUGUAAGCAAAGCUAUAAAAGAUUUAGAGAACGAGCCUAUCUGGAGUGUAUUGUAUUAGGAAAUUACACGCAAAGUUUGGAAGGUCAUGACCCCGAAGGAUCAGAAAGAUAAGCAAGCAUUAGUGGCCUCUCUGGUUUGGGUUUCAGAGGGACUCAGAGCUCCAUGAGGCUUAGUAUACAUGGCGAGAUGUGGGAUAGUGAGGUAGUUAGGGGUAGGGGCCGUGGAUUCCAAUUCCUGCUGCUGCCACUUACUAAUCUUAUAAAGGGAUUGGCCUUGGCUGCAAAAAGGUGCCUCACCCGUCCAAUGACUGCCCUUAAGGAGGAGCAAAGCCCAGCCUCUCACCUCCAUUCAGGAUCCCUCGAAAGGGGCACCCCAGCUUCAGAGCUUCUCCUGGGAUCAGCUGAGGUCUCCACCGGAACUGGGUCUUCACGGUUAAAUGCCCUCUGCCCACCUCUGCUGACCUUGCUCCCUGAUGGCACUUCUGGUAGGUGUCUUCACGCAGAUCUGAGCCUCUAAGUCUAUUUCCUGGGGAGUCUGACCCAUAAGCAUUGGUGCUGAGUGUGGUGGGAGGCAACAGACUCUAAAGUGGGUUCUAGAGCCUGCUCACUUGCCUGUUAAUGAGGAUC
rnacentral:lncRNA from 1 species